rnacentral:rRNA from 1 species
GACGAACGUUGGCGGCGUGCUUAACACAUGCAAGUCGAACGGAAAGGCCCUGCUUUUGUGGGGUGCUCGAGUGGCGAACGGGUGAGUAACACGUGAGUAACCUGCCCUUGACUUUGGGAUAACUUCAGGAAACUGGGGCUAAUACCGGAUAGGAGCUCCUGCUGCAUGGUGGGGGUUGGAAAGUUUCGGCGGUUGGGGAUGGACUCGCGGCUUAUCAGCUUGUUGGUGGGGUAGUGGCUUACCAAGGCUUUGACGGGUAGCCGGCCUGAGAGGGUGACCGGCCACAUUGGGACUGAGAUACGGCCCAGACUCCUACGGGAGGCAGCAGUGGGGAAUAUUGCACAAUGGGCGGAAGCCUGAUGCAGCAACGCCGCGUGCGGGAUGACGGCCUUCGGGUUGUAAACCGCUUUCGCCUGUGACGAAGCGUGAGUGACGGUAAUGGGUAAAGAAGCACCGGCUAACUACGUGCCAGCAGCCGCGGUGAUACGUAGGGUGCGAGCGUUGUCCGGAUUUAUUGGGCGUAAAGGGCUCGUAGGUGGUUGAUCGCGUCGGAAGUGUAAUCUUGGGGCUUAACCCUGAGCGUGCUUUCGAUACGGGUUGACUUGAGGAAGGUAGGGGAGAAUGGAAUUCCUGGUGGAGCGGUGGAAUGCGCAGAUAUCAGGAGGAACACCAGUGGCGAAGGCGGUUCUCUGGGCCUUUCCUGACGCUGAGGAGCGAAAGCGUGGGGAGCGAACAGGCUUAGAUACCCUGGUAGUCCACGCUGUAAACGGUGGGUACUAGGUGUGGGGUCCAUUCCACGGGUUCCGUGCCGUAGCUAACGCUUUAAGUACCCCGCCUGGGGAGUACGGCCGCAAGGCUAAAACUCAAAGGAAUUGACGGGGCCCCGCACAAGCGGCGGAGCAUGCGGAUUAAUUCGAUGCAACGCGUAGAACCUUACCUGGGUUUGACAUGGAUCGGGAGUGCUCAGAGAUGGGUGUGCCUCUUUUGGGGUCGGUUCACAGGUGGUGCAUGCCUGUCGUCAGCUCGUGUCGUGAGAUGUUGGGUUAAGUCCCGCAACGAGCGCAACCCUUGUUCACUGUUGCCAGCACGUUAUGGUGGGGACUCAGUGGAGACCGCCGGGGUCAACUCGGAGGAAGGUGGGGAUGACGUCAAGUCAUCAUGCCCCUUAUGUCCAGGGCUUCACGCAUGCUACAAUGGCUGGUACAGAGAGUGGCGAGCCUGUGAGGGUGAGCGAAUCUCGGAAAGCCGGUCUCAGUUCGGAUUGGGGUCCGCAACUCGACCUCAUGAAGUCGGAGUCGCUAGUAAUCGCAGAUCAGCAACGCUGCGGUGAAUACGUUCCCGGG